GCUCUUUAGUUUUAGGACUUAACAGUCUAGUCGGGUGUUUAGCCAGACUCUAACUUAUUGAUGAAA
rfam:Acinetobacter towneri strain 5-2Ac02 Scaffold8.1_new, whole genome shotgun sequence.